rnacentral:rRNA from 1 species
CUGACUGUGCUAAGGUAGCAUAAUAAUUAGUUAUUUAAUUAAUAACUGGAAUGAACGGCCUGACAAGAUAAUAACUUUUUUACAUUUUUGCUAAAUUGAUCUGAGAAUAAAAAAGUUCUUAUUCUCUAGAAAGACGAUAAGACCCUAAAACCUUUAUAUAAAAAUAUUUUACUGGGGCGGUAAUUUUUAACCCAAAGAUUGUACUUACAUUAUGAAUGAUUUUACUAACUUAUAAAGGCAAAAAGGUACUUUAGGGAUAACAGCAUAAUUUUUAUUUAGAGUCCUUAUCGACAUGAAAGAUUAUGACCUCGAUGUUGAAUUGAUUUAACUCU